rnacentral:rRNA from 1 species
UACAGAGGGGGCAAGCGUUGUUCGGAAUUACUGGGCGUAAAGGGCGCGUAGGCGGCCUGUUAAGUCGAACGUGAAAUCCCCGGGCUCAACCUGGGAACUGCACCCGAAACUGCCUUGCUCGAGUAUGGGAGAGGGAAGUGGAAUUUCCGGUGUAGCGGUGAAAUGCGUAGAUAUCGGAAGGAACAUCAGUGGCGAAGGCGACUUCCUGGACCAAUACUGACGCUCAGGUGCGAAAGCGUGGGGAGCAAACAGG